GACGAACGCUGGCGGCGUGCUUAACACAUGCAAGUCGAACGGAAAGGCCCUGCUUUUGUGGGGUGCUCGAGUGGCGAACGGGUGAGUAACACGUGAGUAACCUGCCCUUGACUUUGGGGUAACUUCAGGAAACUGGGGCUAAUACCGGAUAGGAGCUCCUGCUGCAUGGUGGGGGUUGGAAAGUUUCGGCGGUUGGGGAUGGACUCGCGGCUUAUCAGCUUGUUGGUGGGGUAGUGGCUUACCAAGGCUUUGACGGGUAGCCGGCCUGAGAGGGUGACCGGCCACAUUGGGACUGAGAUACGGACCAGACGCCUACGGGAGGCAGCAGUGGGGAAUAUUGCACAAUGGGCGGAAGCCUGAUGCAGCAACGCCGCGUGCGGGAUGACGGCCUUCGGGUUGUAAACCGCUUUCGCCUGUGACGAAGCGUGAGUGACGGUAAUGGGUAAAGAAGCACCGGCUAACUACGUG
rnacentral:rRNA from 1 species